rnacentral:hammerhead_ribozyme from 1 species
AUCUAGCGGACGAGUCCCAAAUAGAACGAAACGCUUGUCCUGAAU